rnacentral:rRNA from 1 species
UACGUAGGGGGCGAGCGUUGUCCGAAUUUACUGGGCGUAAAGCGCGCGUAGGCGGCUGUCUAAGUCUGGGGUGAAAGGUUCAGCGCUCAACGCGAACAGUGCCUUGGAUACUGGAUGGCUUGAGUCUGGCAGGGGGAGCUGGAAUUCCUGGUGUAGCGGUGAAAUGCGUAGAUAUCAGGAGGAACACCGGUGGCGAAGGCGGGUUCCUGGGCUAAGACUGACGCUGAGGUGCGAAAGCUUGGGGAGCAAACGGG